CUGUCUGAGAAUGCAAGCUGUGCAGAAGAGUUCACCAGUCUCGGUAUGCCGAUAGAAGAGUGCCUUGCAACAUAUAGCAGUACGGAGCCAAAUAUCAAUAGGCAUCGGUCGGGGUGAAUAAUCGGGGUCGUCCUCUGGAAGGAUAAGGAAAUCGUGGAGAUCCAUGCUGAGGAAAAGGAUGCAUGACUUGGAUAUCGUUUAGUGAAAACGCUUUUACUGCAAUGUGGAAGGUUCAAUGAACCCCUAUUAUGCUUGAACUUAACGAAAUCUUGAAGAAACAGCGGACAAAUGGGGCAAUCGAUUGCGACUUGCAACUGGGUGAUCACUUGAUCACACACGCAGCACUCUUUGAGUCCUUCGUACCUCGCGCGCCCAAUGCGGAGAUAGUGCCGAGUUAUACCCUCGACCUUUUCGCGGGGGUAAGGGGGUUUAGGCAGACACUUGGUACAAAUAAACUGACCGUCCUCCAAGUGGCGGUAAAAAGUCGCUUUACAGCAGGCAGCUGUCUUUACUCAUUCGUUGUACAUAUAUAAGCAAGGAUAUUGAUGCGGAGGCUCCUCAGGCAAGUCAGCGGAAUUACUCGGAUUGUGAGUUGCCAUUUAAGCACAAGACAGCAACGCCUGUGGCCGAGCGGAAAAUCACGCGCGUUACCUCAGCGGUGGAUAACUCUUAUAUGCAAUUCGGAUGAUAGCGAGGAAAUUCGUUAGAGUAUAUGACAGCGCGGUGAUCAAACAAAUUUGAAUACUUUAAAUUGCAUGUAAGUACUCGUAUUGCUAUAAGAAAAUAGUUGAAAUAGACGAUGUUAAGAAUAAUAUUAUCGUAUUUUGUUUUAUUCGUUAUUCGAGGCAGGGAAGGGGCGAAUAGAUUGUAUGCGAUUAUCUAAGGAUUAAUCAACAUGAUAUCGUUAUCUGAAAUUUCAUGCAAGUAGUACUAUUAAUUCUGCAAUGUUUCGUACUUCCUUGUAAUAUUUCGAAAUAUAGUACGAAACAUAGUGUGAUAACGC